rnacentral:lncRNA from 13 species
CUUUUUUUCAAAGAUACCCUACCUAGACAGGAGGAAUCUAGAAGGGCCAAUAUUUUUAAUAUUAAAAAAUCAUUUUUAAAGCAUUAAAGCAAAACAAAGCUAAUUAUAAACAGAAAAAAAUGGAAUAAAAUUGCAUCUACUUGACCUGUACUUUAAGAGAUAUUAAAGACAAUUCUUCAAAUGGAAGAAAAACGUUACCAUAUGAAACUUUGAAUCUUCCAGACAAGAAUGAAGAACAGCAGAAAGGAUACCCACACGUUAAAUGAGAGGAUGCUGGAUUAAAGAGAAGAUGAGC